GGGCGAAGAUAAGACGGAUUAGCGCGGACGGGUGAGUAACACGUGAGUAACCUGCCUUUUACACAGGGAUAGCCUCGGGAAACCGGGAUUAAAACCUGAUGAAACUAUCAAAUCACAUGAUUAAGAAAGUUAAAACUCCGGUGGUAAAAGAUGGACUCGCGUCCCAUUAGCUAGUUGGUGAAGGUAACGGCCCACCAAGGCAACGAUGGGUAGCCGGCCUGAGAGGGUGAACGGCCACAUUGGAACUGAGAAACGGUCCAAACUCCUACGGGAGGCAGCAGAU
rnacentral:rRNA from 1 species